GGCCAGGCCACGAAGGAAGUGAGUUAGGGGCUUUUUGGCAGCCAUUAUUGCCGCUUCUACUUCCUGUUCAUUCUCCUCAUUGAUAUUCCUGCUUUCAUGAACUGCAUGCACUCUUCGAACAAGUCUACGCAGUUCCUGACGAUCAAAUUCAACAGUGCGAAUAGCAUAAACUUCAUUUGUAAUCUUUAAGUCCUUAUUGAUUAUGCCAUCAAGCCAUCUCGUUGCCAUGUCAAUGUACUGUUGUGAAACCUCCUCUUCCUCUUCAUAAUCAGUUUCUUCAGAUUCUUCAUAAUCAUCCCCAAUAAUUCCCGUGUCUAUAUCAGAUAUAGCCUGGAGCCUACUCCAGUCACCAUCUUUUGUUGCAAGAAUCAAAGCUUCCAUUAAUUCCGGUUUUACCUCCCGCAGUAGUUUCCCAAUAUAAUUAUAUUGCCUCCGCUUUCCCUCUCGAACAUCGGGUCCUAGUCUCUUAACUAGCAUUAAAGCAUCGUACACUUCUCGCUCAAGGGACGCCACUCGGAGAAUGCGCUUGAUUUGAGGGGCAGAGAAAGAAGAGAGCUCCAUGCCCCAACGAACAGCGCGCCUAGCCUCGCGCUUCUUUUCGUUGCGACUCUUCUGUACAUCGGAAUCUGAAUCGCUGCUGCUUGCUCCUCCUUCUUCGAGAUCGGAUGGUGUUGAAGCAUCGGGUAAUCUGAGACCGCGUGAACGAUAAUGGAAGCGACGAUUAGAGGAGUACACUGCAGCGAAAGCGAGACGAUGAGAAGCAGUUUUGGUGGAUAAUAAUAAAGAUGGAGAUAGGAGAUGAUGAAACGACGCGGGAGAGCAGUAGUGUUGCUGCAACAGAGGCCAUUGCCUUAGAGGUCGUAUUAGCCUAGCCAUUGCUGCUCCGCU
rnacentral:misc_RNA from 1 species